rnacentral:rRNA from 13 species
UGUAUAAUGGGUCAGCGACUUAUGUUCAGUGGCGAGGUUAACCGUUUAGGGGAGCCGUAGGGAAACCGAGUCUGAAUAGGGCGAUUUAGUCGCUGGGCAUAGACCCGAAACCGGGCGAUCUAUCCAUGAGCAGGUUGAAGGUUGAGUAACAUCAACUGGAGGACCGAACCCACUGUCUUUGAAAAGCCAGGGGAUGACUUGUGGAUCGGAGUGAAAGGCUAAUCAAGCCCGGAGAUAGCUGGUUCUCCCCGAA